rnacentral:ribozyme from 1 species
GAUGAACAGAAUGAGAGAAAAACAGGAAUGAGAAAAAAAAUGAGUGAUAUGUUACUGCCCGUAGAUGUUUAAUUCCAUCUGUUGUUCCUGUUCCUCCUCCUCCUCAUAGAU